GGUGUAAGACGGGAGAGGAUGAGAGCUAAUGCGUGGGGAGCGAGAGUUGUUCGGAGUUACUGGGCGUAAAGAGUGUGUAGGCGGUUCGCUAGGUGAGGUGGGAAAUGACCGGGCUUGAGUGGGAGGGUGCUGCGAAAACUGGAGGGAUCGAGUAUGGGGGGGGAAGGCGGAAUUCCUGGUGUAGCGGUGAAAUGCGUAGAUAUCAGGAGGAACACCUGCGAUGUAGACGGCUUUCUGGACCAUCACUGACGCUGAGACACGAAAGCGUGGGGAGCAAACAGGAUUAGAUACCCGGGAGUC
rnacentral:rRNA from 1 species